rnacentral:rRNA from 1 species
UACGUAGGAGGCGAGCGUUGUCCGGAAUUACUGGGCGUAAAGAGCGCGCAGGCGGUCGUUCAAGUCGCGUGUGAAAGCCCCCGGCUCAACUGGGGAGGGUCACGCGAUACUGAUCGACUCGAAGGCAGGAGAGGGAAGUGGAAUUCCCGGUGUAGUGGUGAAAUGCGUAGAUAUCGGGAGGAACACCAGUGGCGAAGGCGACUUCCUGGCCUGCUCUUGACGCUGAGGCGCGAAAGCUAGGGGAGCAAACGGG